GGGGCUGGGGCUCAGCGGUAGAGCCCUCACCAAGCACAUGUGAGGCCCUGGGUUCGAUCCUCAGCACCACUU
rnacentral:tRNA from 1 species